rnacentral:rRNA from 1 species
UACAGAGGUGGCAAGCGUUGCUCGGUAUCACUGGGCUUAAAGGGCGCGUAGGCGGUGCGGUACGGUUUCGGUGAAAUCCCUCGGCCCAACCGAGGAACAGCCGGAGCUACGGCCGCACUAGACGGCAUCAGGGGACAGUGGAACUUCCGGUGGAGCGGUGAAAUGCGUAGAUAUCGGAAGGAACGCCGGUGGCGAAAGCGACUGUCUGGGGUGCCUGUGACGCUGAGGCGCGAAAGCCAGGGGAUCGAACGGG